rnacentral:rRNA from 1 species
CACCGGCGGCUCGGGUGGUGGCCACUUUUAUUGGGUCUAAAGCGUCCGUAGCCGGCUUGGCAAGUCCCCUGGGAAAUCUGGCGGCUUAACCGUCAGGCGUCCAGAGGAUACUGCCAGGCUUGGGACCGGGAGAGGUGAGAGGUACCUCAGGGGUAGGGGUGAAAUCUUGUAAUCCUCGAGGGACCACCAGUGGCGAAGGCGUCUCACCAGAACGGAUCCGACGGCAAGGGACGAAAGCUAGGGGCACGAACCGG